rnacentral:tRNA from 1 species
CGGUGUAGCUCAGUGGCCAGAGCAGUUGAUUUGUAAUCAACUGGCCGGGGGUUCGAAUCCCUCCACCG